UAAUACGGAGGGUGCGAGCGUUAAUCGGAAUUACUGGGCGUAAAGCGCAUGUAGGCGGUUUGAUCAGUCGGAUGUGAAAUCCCCGAGCUUAACUUGGGAAUGGCAUUCGAUACUGUCAAGCUAGAGUAGGCUAGAGGAAAGGGGAAUUCCGCGUGUAGCAGUGAAAUGCGUAGAUAUGCGGAGGAACACCAAUGGCGAAGGCACCUUUCUGGGGUCAUACUGACGCUGAGAUGCGAAAGCGUGGGGAGCAAACAGG
rnacentral:rRNA from 1 species